CAUUUUUGGAUAGUAAAGAACUAGUUUGCACUUGUCUUUUGGGUAUAAUUUUAUGUUGUUUUUGUUUUCUUCCAUAUAUACAUUCUGCAUGUUGUACUUUUCAUUCUCAAAGGUUCAUGAUUUUUGUGUAUUGGUGUACCUACUUCCUAGUUUCUUUGUUUCACUUGAGGGUUUUUUUUGUAAGACAAAGGCAUUGUAUCUGUCACGCCCCC
rnacentral:lncRNA from 1 species